GUGCUCACUUUGGCAGCACAUACACUAACAUUGGAAUGAUACAGAGAAGAGUAGCAGAGCCCCUGUGCAAGGGUAACAUGCAAAUCUGUGAAGCAUUCCAUAUUAAA